rnacentral:rRNA from 1 species
CAGUAGCCGCGGUAAAACGAGGGGGGCAAGCGUUGUUCGGAAUUAUUGGGCGUAAAGGGUGCGUAGGCGGUUUCGUAAGUCUGAUGUGAAAUCUAUGGGCUCAACCCAUAGUCUGCAUCGGAAACUGCGAGGCUUGAGAGUGGGAGAGGUGAGUGGAAUUUCCGGUGUAGCGGUGAAAUGCGUAGAUAUCGGAAGGAACACCUGUGGCGAAAGCGGCUCACUGGACCAUUUCUGACGCUGAUGCACGAAAGCUAGGGGAGCAAACAGGAUUAGAUACCCCGGUAGUCCCUGUCUCUUAUAA